UAGUUACUCCUAGGGAGCCCUUUUCAUACUUGUUGCAAAGGUUAUUGUUUUUGUGAAAAAAUUUGUUUGUGCAAACAUGAUUGAAGAGAUGAGAAGAGAAUAUACAAGUUAUUUACAUUUUGUGUUUGGAUGGAUAAACCCAUUGUCUACGUACCAUCUUAAAAAAAGAUUAGGAUCAAAACCUCGUAGUUCGGGGUAAAAAUCUCAAAAAAAUGAGUUGGU
rnacentral:lncRNA from 1 species